rnacentral:tRNA from 1 species
UCCCUGGCAGUUCAGUGGUUAAGACUCUGCACUUCCACUGCAGGAGGCACGGGUUCCAAUCCUGGUCAGAGAA